rnacentral:lncRNA from 1 species
GGCGUCCUGGCUCCCAGUCCACCCGCCAGUUUCUAUUAAAACGGGAAUCAAGUUCCCGCGGACGACGCAGCGAGGCUCAAGGAAGAUGAGGGGCUUUCCUCCGGGCCACCCUGGAGCCAGAGCAGUGGGGUGAGGGCUGGGACGUGGCCCAGACUCUCGGCAGAUGAGAGAAACGACGGAAUCGUGCAGGCCCUGAACUCCCCUGGACUCUGAUGUGAGCGCAAGCCCAGCAUCUCAUCCCCUCUGCUCCUGACCGCAGUGAAGAGACAAAGCCGACGGGUAGGAAUGGUCUGAUUUGAAGUUAGCCACCUGGGUUUCCGAUGGACUCACUACCAAAAGAGAGGCCAGUCACUUACAAGCCAGAGUGUACAGCAUCCAGCGUGCUGUGUGGUAGGGGAACGGAUUCUAGGAGUGGAGCUCCCGGCAAGGGAGGCUCUUUGUUUCGACACGCAGGGAGCAAGCAACCGAUGACUCGGGGAGCCGUUUUCCUGCCGUAUGGCUCCUGAGUCUCCUCAGGUGAGCCUGCAUGCGUCCAGGUGGGACGUUUUCUCAUCCUCGCUGCAGCCCUCCCUGUAUCUGCACACCUGACUGCAGGCCACCACUUGCUCCUCCACUGGUCUACAUUUAUCCCUCCUCCAGCUCAGGUGGAUCCUCCACCAAAUAACCGAGGCAGAAGCAGGAUGCCAUGUCACUCCCAGCCGACAGCUACUGUCUCAGAGAGCAACAGAGAAAAGAUCGGGGUGAGGAGGCGGCUGGAGGAACUUGAAAGCGAGUAACUGCCGAGUAACUGGGUCAGCUCCCUCACCUCAGCCUCAGCCCGUGACUUGCAGGGAGCCUCCAGAGACUGGGAGAGAAACCUCCAAGGGCCA